CAAUAACUUACAGUCAGCUUUCCUGAGCUGGAUAUGGUGGACUCAGCCUUGACUGUUACCUCUCAUGACAAGAGGCUAAGCAGUGUUCACAGACACAGUGAUGAUAAGAAUAAAUAAAUAAAAGAAAAGGGGCCCUACAAUAGAGAAGUUGUUUUCUGGCAGCAAAAGAAUUAUGGAGAAAAGAAACAGUUGAAAUCUGACAGGAUUAGCCUGCUGACUUGCUGAGUUUACAAGCGCUGUGAAGAAUACCAAUGAGCGACAACACAGAAGAUAGACAAUAACGGGAUAAAUUUUACCCGCAGAUUUCUUCACUGAGCACUGGAAAAUAAAAUCAAGUUCUGGAUACCAUUAAGGGCUUAACAACAUCACCGUUUUAUGACAGAGGCAGCUGAAGCACUGGAAAUUUAACAAAAUUGACUGAAGCUAUCAGGCUUCCAACAGAACUGGGACUCACUCCUUACGCUUCUUAGGCCCACUGUCCAAAUUUAAUUUGUGUACCAAGCUAUCUUU